GCUUCUGCCUCACAGCGUCGCUUGACAGGAUGGCUUUGAAUUCUUGAUCUUCCUGCCUUGCCGGAAUUGCAAGCUUGUUCCACACAGUAUAUGCAGUGUUAGGGAUUGGACCCAGGGCUUCAUGCAUGCUAGACAAACACUCUACCAACUGAGCUACAGUUUCCAGUCACUUAGUUCUUGGGCAUAUUUAUCCCUUUAGAGGGAGGCCUGGUGUUUUCCGGGAAAGCACACAGGGUUCCUCUGGCUCUAGGGCAGGCCCCAGGACUGUCAUGCUUUCCAGUCACCAGAAGCACUUUGGAGGUCUGAGCUGGCUGAUGUGGUGGCGGAUGCUGAAGGUUCCUCCAUGCUGGUUCUAGACCUUACCGGAAGAACCUCAGAUACCUUGGGUCUUGACCCUGUGGAAUCAGAGUCCGAGUCUCCCAGGGGAAAGGUCUGAGUAGGACUUGCUUGGAAAUUCUCCAGGUGACUGAGCCAUCAGGGUGACAACAGAUCAGUAAGCUUUGAAUGCCCACUAGAGGUUAGUGACCUGGUAGACCAUGUUUACAGAACACCGUAUGUACAAAGGUCACAGAGGUGACCAGACAAGGUCCCCAUCUGCUAGAAGGACUCUGUCCAUGAAAGCUUGACCAACCGGUGAUGUUCACAGUAUCCAUUUGCCUGGCUGAGUUCAGUAGCAAGCGAUCGAUUGGUGUUUGUGGUUCAACGGACUUAGCUUCGAGUUCCCACUGGCUGUGUGACAGCAGACAAAGAGAUUAUUAUCCUUUCAGACUCCAUGUGUGUAAGUCAGAGAGGAUAACUCUGAGGGGGGUUGUUUGAGAGGGUUACAUGUAACAUGUGAUGUGUCCAUCACAGACCUUGCACGUAACAGACACUUUAAAUAAUGUGUGUACAUGCAUGUGUGCAUGUUAGUGCUUGUGUGCCUGUGUGUGCAAGUGUGUGUGUGUGUGUGUGUGUGCGCGCGCGCAUGUGCGUGUGCAGGGUAGAGGGGUCAGAAUCACACCAAAACAACAACUGCAGCGGAGAGGAGGCAGCUGCUCGGAGCGAACAGUCAAGAGUGAUCCGAGCAGUCUUGGUGCCAGUUCAGGAAGGACUGUGCUCAAGACAGAGAGUGAGGUGCAGAGCCGGUUUGCUUAUUAUCAUCUUUCCUUUAGGAUUUUAAAGACAGGGUCUGCAUUUGUAACUCAGCGGGCCUUGGACUUGCAGGGGUCCCUCCGCUUCGGCCUCUCGGGUGCUGGGAUUCUAGGUCUGUAAAGCCAGGCCUGGCUUGGAGCCUGGUUUUGAAGGAGGCAGGAUCUUCCCUCUGCUCUGCCCUUUGCUCGCCCGUCCACCUGUUUCUGAGUCAAACAUUUGUUAAUAACCUCCCCAGAGGCUCCGUGCUGGCUGCAUAUUAUAGUCUCCUGUGGUUCAAUAGGUAGUCUUUUUUUUUUUAAAGAUUUAUUUAUUAUUAUAUGUAAGUACACUGUAGCUGUCUUCAGACACACCAGAAGAGGGAGUCAGAUCUUGUUACGAAUGGCUGUGAGCCACCAUGUGGUUGCUGGGAUUUGAACUCUGGACCUUCAGAAGAGCAGUCUGGUGCUCUUAACCACUGAACCAUCUCACCAGCCCCAAUAGGUAGUCUUAUUUAAAGUGGUGAUCAAAUUUACAUUAUGUCACACUCACCAUUUUAAACCUUUCUUCUCCCUCUCUUCUUCUUUUUUUUUUUUUUUUGUUUUUUUGUUUUUUUGUUUUUCCUGGAACUCACUCUGUAGACCAGGCUGGCCUCGAACUCAGAAAUACACCUGCCUCUGCCUCCCGAGUGCUGGGAUUAAAGGCGUGCGCCACCAUGCCCUCAGUCUCUUCUUCUUUCUCUUCCUUUCCCUCCCUCUUUCUUUCUCUUCCUUUCUCUUUCCUGCUGAGACAGGGUCUUGCGCAUUCUUUGUACACGUACUUUACCACUGAGCUAUAUUUCCACUUUAAAAAUUAUAUUUAUAACCAGGCAGUGGUGGUGCACACCUUUGUUCCCAGCACUCAGGAAGCACAGGCAGGCGGAUCUCUGAGAGUUUAAGGCUAGAGGGCGAGUUCCAGACACCCAGGACCCUGUC
rnacentral:lncRNA from 1 species